CAAUUCUCCUACCUCAGCCUCCCAAGUAGCUGGGAUUACAGGCGUGUGCCACCAUGCCCAGCUAACUUUUUGUAUUUUUAGUAGAGACAGGGUUUCACCAUGUUGGCCAGCCUGGUCUCGAACUCCUGACCUCAGGUGAUCUGCCCCGGCCUCCCAAAGGGCUGGGAUUACAGGCAGGAGCCACCGCAUCCAGCCUCUACAGGAAGAAUUGAUUCUUAUCUACAGGUCACUUUCCAGGUGCCCAUGGAGGUGAUUUCACCCAAAACUGCGUUUUCCCAAACAUACCACUCCUGAAAUUCCCCAAGCCCUCCUCGCUGAUUCAGGGGGUAGGAGAGGUAGGUGGACAAACACCAUCUGCUUAGAGAAGGCAGAAUCAUAGCAGGUAAAUCCUUCCAGCAGGGUUUCCAUAACCUGUAGCAACUGUUGUUACCAUGGAAACCCAAACAAUAGCCACCAUUACAGGAGAAGCCAUAGGCACUGUUUUUCCCAGGGUUUAACUAGGCCAAGACCAAAUCAGAGGCUUCAUUCAUUCAUUCAUUCAUUCAUUACUAGGGGUUUAAAUCUAAUGCCAGCCCCUAUGAUGGGCAUUGGGAACAUGAAGGUCAAUAAGACCCAUUCCCACCUAUUAAGAAGCUCACAGUCCCAAGAGGCGAAGACAGGCAGUUAAAUAAGUAAUUAUAAUUCCAUGAAAGGACUUAGUGAAAAUCCAAGUGUUCAUUAUCUGGCCCCCACCCUUCAUCCAUAAUAAAUUUUAAUAAUGUUUUAAUAAAGUAUCUGGUCUUAGGUAAGUUUAAUUUCCAAGUUUAGGUCUUAUGCAUUUCAUUUCCACCUUUCCUUAGGCCCUUCUUGACUGUGAGUUAUUGUUAUAAUAUUUUUAACUUUUUGUUUUGAAAUAACUGUAGACUCAAGUGACCUUGCAAAAAGAGUGUCAAGUGGUAUUGUGUAUCUUUCACCCAGCUCUUCCCAACUGGAACAUCUCCCAUAACUACAUUGCAUUACUAGCACCAGGAAAUUGACAUCAGUCCAAUAGAAUUAACUAGACUCCAGACCAGCAGAACCUUCCUUUUUGAACCCUAGUCUGGCUCUGACCAUCAUAUCAACACCCUCUUUUAGUCUGUCUGUCUCUGAGUGUAUGCAAUCAUUUGCAAAAUGAAGCUGCCAUCCUUGCCAAGUUACAGAAUUUCCUGAAGUCAAUGUAAAUGAUGCACCCACAAAGAUAUCAACAAAUAAGCAUCUGGUAGACUUAGGCUAAGAAACAACUGAGGAAGAGGAAAUUGACAAGAAGACUGGACAGGCGCUUAAAACAGAUAAUUUCAUUAUGAAAAGACAAAGAAAGACCCGUUGGGAAACUAGUGGUACUUUCUAACGUUUUUGCAAAAAUGACUUCCUUUCUGUGUGAUCAUGGCCUGAAACUUGCAGAAAACGGUCAUAUCAUGUGUUCCAACAAAUUUUUUAUCAGAAAAUUAUGCCUAAAAGAAAAAAUAUACAUCACUCCUGGCUUCAUACUCUGUUCAUUCUAAAAAUGUGUACAGUUUUGCAAUUAUAAUUUCAUUAGCUAAAGACAGAAUAAUGUCUACAAAUUUUAGUUUCAUUUAGUUUCAUUUUUAAGGUAGAGUCUCAAUCAAAUAAUCAAAUCCUUUUUCCCCUCAAUAUUUACUAUGAAGUUUUAGUCCCAUUCUGACUAGAUUUGCUUUUACCUGUCUUUCUCUGGCACUAAUGAUCCUUGAAGAUAAAAAAUCCCCUGCCAAGGUAUUAUAGGGCAAAGGACACAAUAACCAGUUCUGCAGGAAGGUGAGCGAAGCCUUCCACUAAGUAACAUUUGGGCUGGGUAUUGAAAGAUGUGUAGGAGUUCACCAAGGGAAAAUGAAGGAGAAAUCUGUGCAGUUAGAGAAUAGUGUGUCAGAGUCUGAGAAGGACAGGAGAACAUGGCUUCCUUUCUGAUGUCAUGUUUGGGCUGUGGUGAGGUUGCAGGCAGAGUGAAUAGAAUGAAGUAGGAACAAUUUCCUGUGAUAGGGGAUGAGCCUGUGUGGGUGAAAAGAGCCGUCCUGAAGAGCUGACGCUUCAUCCAAGGCAGUGGGAAGCGUUGCUGGAGGGUUUUGCGAUAAGGAGGGACAUGACCA
rnacentral:lncRNA from 1 species